UACGUAGGGUGCAAGCGUUGUCCGGAAUCAUUGGGCGUAAAGAGCGUGUAGGCGGCUCGAUAAGUCCGCUGUGAAAGUCCAGGGCUCAACCCUGGAAUGCCGGUGGAUACUGUCGGGCUCGAAUCCGGAAGAGGUGAGUGGAAUUCCUGGUGUAGCGGUGAAAUGCGCAGAUAUCAGGAAGAACACCCGUGGCGAAGGCGGCUCUCUGGAACGCAACUGACGCUGAGACGCGAAAGCGUGGGGAGCAAACAGG
rnacentral:rRNA from 1 species